rnacentral:lncRNA from 1 species
UUUGGUUGAACAGGCUUGUUGUUGUUUCAUUAAGGAAGAUGAAGAAUGGUAGAGGGAGCAGAAGAGAGUGAAAUGGUAGUUUUUCUUACAGGGCUUUUGGUUCACUGAUAAUCAGUUUAAUUCCUAGAUGAAGUGCAUUUGUUUCUUUGGGAAGGGGCUCUUGCGCGUGCAUUGUUUUUUCUUUUCAGUGUUGAGAAAGCUCAUUUAUUAGGCAGGGGGUAACAUUUGUUUUUUAGGUAGGAGUAAUCUAGUUUUAUAGGCAUUUUAUUUUUCAGUUUCCUGUUUGUUUUUUUUAUUUUGACCCCUUUUUUUUUCCACACAAUUAAUAACAAUUCCAUUCAUUUCCAUAAAGAAAUAUAAAUA